rnacentral:rRNA from 1 species
GAUGAACGCUGGCGGCGUGCCUAAUACAUGCAAGUCGAGCGAACGGACGAGAAGCUUGCUUCUCUGAUGUUAGCGGCGGACGGGUGAGUAACACGUGGAUAACCUACCUAUAAGACUGGGAUAACUUCGGGAAACCGGAGCUAAUACCGGAUAAUAUUUUGAACCGCAUGGUUCAAAAGUGAAAGACGGUCUUGCUGUCACUUAUAGAUGGAUCCGCGCUGCAUUAGCUAGUUGGUAAGGUAACGGCUUACCAAGGCAACGAUGCAUAGCCGACCUGAGAGGGUGAUCGGCCACACUGGAACGGAGACACGGUCAAGACUCCUACGGGAGGCAGCAGUAGGGAAUCUUCCGCAAUGGGCGAAAGCCUGACGGAGCAACGCCGCGUGAGUGAUGAAGGUCUUCGGAUCGUAAAACUCUGUUAUUAGGGAAGAACAUAUGUGUAAGUAACUGUGCACAUCUUGACGGUACCUAACCAGAAAGCCACGGCUAACUACGUG